CGGCGGACGGGUGAGUAAUGCCUAGGAAUCUGCCUGGUAGUGGGGGGCAACGUUUCGAAAGGAACGCUAAUACCGCAUACGUCCUACGGGAGAAAGCAGGGGACCUUCGGGCCUUGCGCUAUCAGAUGAGCCUAGGUCGGAUUAGCUAGUUGGUGAGGUAAUGGCUCACCAAGGCGACGAUCCGUAACUGGUCUGAGAGGAUGAUCAGUCACACUGGAACUGAGACACGGUCCAGACUCCUACGGGAGGCAGCAGGG
rnacentral:rRNA from 1 species